rnacentral:lncRNA from 1 species
UUUUUUAGUAACAUUGAUAUUGUCAUCACCGUUGUUGUCCUUCAAUUUGUAGCGCGAGAGAUACCAGUGGCUACCAGUGACAUCCUUCCAAAAAAUGCAAGACUAACUAUAAUCAAAUUGUUAUUAUUCUUCAAUGAUAUAUGUCAUAUAGUUCUUGAUUUAAAAAAAAUAGAUGAAUUAGAAGAUGAGACCGCAAUAAUCUUGUGUCAAUU